AGCGGCGCCAGAGGAGAUUUCCGACUGGAUGCGGUACCACCAUGGACACUCGCGUAACCUCCUUUUCCACAAUUGUCAAAAUGAGAUUGCCAAACUCAAAGCAAUCAUGGAUUAAGCAUUUCAUUUUAAAUUCAUUUAGUAUCAAAUGGUACAUGGUAUUCGUAUUUUGGGUUGCGUAAAAAUAAUUUUCAGAAGUAAUUCUCUCGUGACUAACCCUGUAUACAGCCAGGGGGAAUUCAUAGACUAAGUAAAGAUGCCCUGCCCUCGAAGAUCCCUUCAACAAGUGGACUUUCAGAAAGCGACUCGACAGAAGCAAAUUCCAGCAGUUCGUCACAAAAAACAAUUAAAGAAUGUGAGCAAAGUACUCAGCAGCUGACAACACAACAAGCAGACUUGUCAAUACUAGCUCAACCACUAUCAUGGUCUUCGGAAACUUUGACAGCUACAGAGUCUGUGGAUGAAGCAGUCAUCACUAGACAACCCGGUGCAAGUAUGAGUCAGUCCAUGGGUCCACCAAAGUUCAGGUUGGGAAAACGAAAAAUAACUUCAGUACAGGGUAGUAUAAAAAGUUCGACCACAGAAUCACUUGACUCUGUUAAAAAAACUAAUGUCCCUAGUAGACCUUUAAUGAAAAGGGUAAAACGUGCACGAUAUAUAGGUGAUUGUUCAACUGAUGAAAUGAGAACUCCUAGAAAAGCGAAAAGAAAUUGGCAAAUAGCCAAAAAGACAAUAACGA